AUUGAACGCUGGCGGCAGGCCUAACACAUGCAAGUCGAGCGAGCGGCGGACGGGUGAGUAAUGUCUGGGAAACUGCCUGAUGGAGGGGGAUAACUACUGGAAACGGUAGCUAAUACCGCAUACCAUCAGAUGUGCCCAGAUGGGAUUAGCUAGUAGGUGGGGUAACGGCUCACCUAGGCGACGAUCCCUAGCUGGUCUGAGAGGAUGACCAGGCACACUGGAAAUGAGGCACGGUCCAGACUCCUACGGGAGGCAGGAGGGGGGAAUAUUGGAAAAUGGGCGCAAGGCUGAUGCAGCCAUUCCGCGUGUGGGAAGAAGGCCUUCGGGUUGGAAAGCACUUUCCGCGGGGAGGCGUUACCCGCAGAAGAAGCACCGGCUAACUCCGUGCCAGCAGCCGCGGUAAUUC
rnacentral:rRNA from 1 species